AACCAUGUGAACAAGUUGCACCCAAGCGAUCAAGUGGAAGACAUGAAAAAGUGAGCGUUUUGCACAGCUGCCGACGUAAAGCUUCGCAGUUUAGUCACUAAUAAUUAGCCGGCAGCCACCAGAUAAAAGCAACGUUCAGUCUAAUUUUUUUGCUCAGUCAUAUUUGCAAGUAACAAUGAUGCUAAUGCCGUAUGUACUGGUAAGAUCCUACCUUCAAACUUCCGUUUCUACUAGUCUUAGUGCUUCAUUGUGUUGUUCUACAGUUGUUGCACAGUAGAAUAACACUUUUUGAAAUGAAUGAGAAAAAAAAUAAGUAUAAAAUGUAUAAUUCUCAGUACUAGUGCUUUCAAACUGGCAAUUUAAAAGCAAUGGGGGGAAAAUGGUUAUGUACUUGUCUCAACUGGUCCGUGACACAAAAAAAGGUUGGGGACCACUGCCCGAAUGUGUUGUAUCGAAGCAGCAUAAAAAUGUCUUCGUGGUGCGCGUAUCUCUGUCAAUUCAAUCUGCUGUCAUUGUUUCUGGAUAGCUUUGAUCUUCUUUCUACCACCACUUACUACAUGUGGACACAAAUGCGCCACAAGAACAAUUGAGUUUCUGUACAUGGGCAACCAUUCAUGGCUUCUCUCAUGUACGGUAUUCUCUCCUGCAGCCUGGCGUCUUGAGAUAGAAGAGAGGAAUAUGACUGCUUCUGUGAUUUAGUGCCCUCCCAGGCCACCACCGGGAAUGUUAAUUGAUGACCAUUUUUGCAGGCUGACGAGAAGCAGAGCAGACCGGGACAAGACCGAGACAGGGUCGUUUUGAGAGGCCCCUUGUGAUACUUUUAUUUUCACAUUUGAAAAAACAUCUUGCUUGAGCAAUGGAUAAAAAAGAUGUUUGUUUUUUUCAGAGAAUGUUAAGUGCUUGUUUUCUUGUUUGUAACCUCCCAACAUUCUAUGCUGCCCCAUACAUAGGAAGACAGAAGCAAAGAAAUACAACGGGGUUAUUUUGGCAGAGUGCUUAAAUGGAAUGAUUUCUGGAGAGCAGAUGCUGGGCCAUAGGUUCUGGAAUCACUGAAGACAAUUAUGCAAGUUUGGACUGACACUUCACAUUGCAGCUCCACAUUUCUGCAAAAAAGAAAAGAAAAAAGAAAAUCACAUGACUUUGUGCUCGUGCUCAUAGUGCAACCUGGGAUUGAAUGUGUGGACUCUGAAAGGACAACGAUGUCUUUAGGAAUGAAUGAGUUACCCAGGCGAAAGCAAAUCAAAGACUUUGAUGUACCGAGACACUUCACAACCUAUCUGGAUGUAGGCCAUCCUCCUGUCCUCCACUUCCUCUGCUCUCAGGUGUACAGUGUAAAGGAAUUGGGAACUUUUUGUCCACCAGCAGAUGUGAUUUGGUUAAUAGGAAAAAAAAGAGGCUCUAUUACAGUAACACAGACAUUUCAUUUUGUUUGAUACACACAUGAUAGGCUGCACAACUUUUGACAAAAGAAAACUAGUAAUAAUAAUAGUGAACAGCGACAAGAGAACAUUAAUGCUUGGUGAGAAUAAAUGCACACUUGUACUUUCUGAAGCUAACCUCAAGGUAAGAUGUCACAACAUACAUAGCAUAUGCAUAGUGUAUAAAUGCACAGUUAAAGAAGCUGCUGACAGAACAAUAGGGGUUUCAUGGUUAACCUCGGCACACUGGAUGGUUAACACAUUUCUUUUUUUCUUCUUAAUGUCCUGGUUUGGGAACAAAAGAACAGCCACCUCCUUUUUGUUCUUGUUAUUCCCAAAGUUGUGAGCUUGAAUGUCUAAGCCUCAUUUGCGGUUCAAACUGAAGAGUUGUUGAUGAUCUGACAAACGUUGCUUGAGGGCAAUGUUGUGAUUUAAUGCUGUGCUUUUCACUUCCUGAAUUGCAUUUGGGAGCUCGUGGGAACACAAGCAUCCCAUCACCAAUAAGGAUUAUUCAGUGAAAACAGUGGGUGAAAACCGGUGUCUUACAGACACAACCAGGCUGAAUUAAAAAUAGUCAUGCAAUUUUGUUUAAAAUGUUCAAUUUUCAGUCAUUGGCUCCUAAGCUUGGUGGUCAUGUUAAAUUAGGAGAGUGGACAGUCAAAACUCUAUUUGUGAUAAAGCUCUUGAUGACAGCACUCCAGAACUAUGAAUAUAUUGUGAUUAUUUUUUUCCAAAUACAGUAUACCUCGUGGCAAUGCCAUUUAAUGUCAUCGUCCACUUUAAAAUGCCAUGAAAUGAAAGCCAAUCAGAAGCCUGAAGAAAGUCAUUGCCAGAAACGGAACAAAUACCAACGACCUUCAAGGGACACUGUUUUUGUAAUUAAAAAAGAAAAGUGUGGGGGCGGGGGAUGAGAAUGGAAAUUACACUGUUAUGCUUGAUUCUGGCAGUAUUUUGACUUGAACAGUGUCACAGAAAUGUUUUUAAAAUGCCACGGAGCUGCUUUAAAAUGUGGAAAUGGUGUGCUCUUUUUCUACUGCAAGUGAGUUUCAAUUUGGAUAAAGUUAAACAAUAUCCUAUUGAGAGUGUGUGUGUGUGUGUGUGUGUGUGUGUGUGUGUGUGUGUGUGCGUUUGUAUUCAUGACAUCUCAGGACAAUUUUAUGAUAACACACCUUCACAAUGAGGACCUGUGGAAAAAUGAGGACAUUUUUCGCGUCCUCAUAUUUCCACGCAGUCUACACUACUCUAGAGCUCACGAGGAUACUCCCACACCAAAAAUAAGUGAUGUCCUGAAAGAGCACAAUUUUCAGAAAUUGUGUGUUUAAGUGUGUUUAACUUUCGACUCACUUUUCAUUUGGAAAACUAGUGGCCAACUUCGGUACUUAACACACUUUUAACACACUUUCAGUGACGUCAUUGUGCAGGACCUCAAAUGUCAUCUUUUUCGGACUGACUCACACAUUUUCCCCGCCCUCGUCCUGAUAAGUCACAUCAAUUAGCAGUCACACAAAAUCCAACAUGUGAAGCAGCCAGACAAUCCUACUCUCAAACACGACCACGCGUGGAUGACCAUCGGAUGUUUACUGGUGGUGAUAAUGUCACAAAGAAGAACCAGACUGAGCCCUGAAUCUGAGGCUGCUCCUUUUAUCUGGAGUCAACAAGCCUUGUUUGAAAGCCCAGUGGAUCAAUGAUUAUAAAGGUAUGCUAUCAAUCUACCUGCUAUCUAAUUCUUAUGGCUACCGCAAGCACAUGACAAGAGCUGCAACCAAAGCCUGUCACAGUGACAGAUUUUAUUCGUACAUUGUAUUUACCCCAAAAAUGUCACAAUAAACAGCAUAUUUUUUAUGCCAUUGAUCAUAUUGGAGCAAAAAUAAUUGAAGUACUUUUGAAGAAAAUGUUUAGCAGCCAUUAUCAUUCAAUUAUUGAGAAUAUUGUAUUGCCAUGUAGAACUAGGAAUAUCUUGGAAUGAAAAAAUAGAAAUAGAAAUUAUUCGGCUUCUGUUAAAAUAUUGUGCUUCACCAAAUAUCACAAUUCAUAAAAACGCAUACCAUCCGUAAUAGUCGAGGAAAAUUAGAUGCCUUUAAACUUCCUUCAUAAUGCUUAUUUCACCUGAUUGAAGAAGGCUGUGGUAGCUGUUUGACAAAUCCACAUUUUUAUCAGCAAUUUGUACUGCCCAUCAAAAGUCUCUACUUAGUUGAAAACAACGAAUGGUCACCGGAAUUAUUUUUCAGUCAUUACAUUGUUUUAGUCUGAAAGAGUAUGUUUCGGGUGUUGUCUUUAUUAUUUGAACUCAGUCAUGUCUGUUGUCCUGAAAUUGUUAGCUAUAAGAGCUGUACAGUGGUAACUACCAUAAAGAGCCGGCUUGUGCUGUGUAUGAAGUUUAAUUUAUUCAAAAGUCAUGUAACUACGACAUAUUUCUGACACUCUAUGGUUGCUAUAAUGUUGAUUUUCAUGAUUUCAGUCAUGCCCUCAUACUUCCCAGUUACUGUAGAAUACUUUUUAGAAUAUUUCUGAUACUGUAAUGUUGCUGAAAAACCUGAGUGUGAUCAGGUGAAAUGACUUUUGUCUGGACCUAACACUGGAGAGCCUGUGUUCGAAUGUCCCGUAAUGGCACCGUAAUGGUGUUAUGUUGCAGACACCAAGUGACGGGAUCUUGACUGAACCUUCUGGAGACCAAGAAGGGAGUGAGAGAUCCACUUCAUCCUUACAACAGACACCAAGUGACCUGACUGAACCCUCUGGAGACCAUGAAUGGAGUGAGAGAUCCACUUCAUUCUUACAACAGACACCAAGUGACCUGACUGAACCCUCUGGAGACCAUGAAUGGAAUGAUAGAUACACUUCAUCCUUACAACAGACACCAAGUGUUCCGAUCCUGAUGAAACCUUUUGAAGAUCAAGAAAGGAGUGGAAGAUCCACUUCUUCCUUACAACAGACACCAAGUGACCUGACUGAACCCUCUGGAGACCAUGAAUGGAAUGAGAGAUAAAUUCUCAAAAUUCUCAAAUUUUCAAAAUUCUCAUUAUUUCCUGGAAUAUCUUAUUUUGAUUAUUUUAUUUUUCCAUUUUUAAUAAAUAAUGCCUUCUUUUACAGGUGGGAAUAAGAGACGCACGUGGACAGAUUAUGAAGUGAAGGCUGUUGAGCGACAUAUGUUUGAUUUCAUAACAAGCCAUAAAGUUUCAGGUAAAACGA